GAAACUGCCCGAUGGAGGGGGAUAACUACUGGAAACGGUAGCUAAUACCGCAUAACGUCGCAAGACCAAAGAGGGGGACCUUCGGGCCUCUUGCUAUCGGAUGUGCCCAGAUGGGAUUAGCUAGUAGGUGGGGUAACGGCUCACCUAGGCGACGAUCCCUAGCUGGUCUGAGAGGAUGACCAGCCACACUGGAACUGAGACACGGUCCAGACUCCUACGGGAGGCAGCAGUGGGGAAUAUUGCACAAUGGGCGCAAGCCUGAUGCAGCCAUGCCGCGUGUAUGAAGAAGGCCUUCGGGUUGUAAAGUACUUUCAGCGGGGAGGAAGGGAGUAAAGUUAAUACCUUUACUCAUUGACGUUACCCGCAGAAGAAGCACCGGCUAACUCCGUGCCAGCAGCCGCGGUAAUACGGAGGGUGCAAGCGUUAAUCGGAAUUACUGGGCGUAAAGCGCACGCAGGCGGUUUGUUAAGUCAGAUGUGAAAUCCCCGGGCUCAACCUGGGAACUGCAUCUGAUACUGGCAAGCUUGAGUCUCGUAGAGGGGGGUAGAAUUCCAGGUGUAGCGGUGAAAUGCGUAGAGAUCUGGAGGAAUACCGGUGGCGAAGGCGGCCCCCUGGACGAAGACUGACGCUCAGGUGCGAAAGCGUGGGGAGCAAACAGGAUU
rnacentral:rRNA from 1 species